UAGAAAUGAGUUUCCACUUAAUAUCAUUUGAUUCUUGGACAAUUUUUUUUACAUGUUCGGUACAAAAAUUGAGUACAUAGAAAAAUGGAAAAUGCAUCGACGAAAACGAUUGCAAUCUUCUUGAUGAUAUCGAUUCAUUAUGUUGUAACAAUAAUCAUCACGCAGUAUAACGAGGAUGGAGAUAAAAAAUGUGUAUGCGAGAACUGUUCUCCUAUGGAAGUUCAAAAUGCUUUAGAUGAAAAUAACACUCAAAAUCCAUACCAGUUUCAUUGCAAGCCGUCAGGUUUUUUCAGAAUCACAAAAGGUUCGUGCAACUGUACGCAAGAGAAUUUACUCGUAGAUACAUUUACGUCAACGACGACGGAGACACCGAAUUUAUUUCAGAAAUUAGGUAAUCUAUUAUUUAAACGAAAAUAGGUUUAAUAAAAAAUCCAUACCCA